rnacentral:misc_RNA from 1 species
AAGUCGUAACAAGGUUUCCGUAGGUGAACCUGCGGAAGGAUCAUUAACAAAUUCCAAAACACGUGGUCAUCCAUGGUGUAGUGGGGGGACGGGUGUGGGGUAUACCGGGAGAACCCUGGUAUGUUUCAUGUUCCAUCUCCAUUGGCUAUCUAUGGAUGCUCUACAUAAACAUUUACAUUUAAGAUUGACAACCAAUGGAGAACCAAGUAAAACGUUAAAUCGUGUAAACAACUUUUAACAAUGGAUCUCUUGGCUCUU